rnacentral:rRNA from 1 species
CAGCCGCCGCGGGAAAACGUAGGUGGCAAGCGUUGUCCGGAAUUAUUGGGCGUAAAGGGCUCGCAGGCGGUUUCUUAAGUCUGAUGUGAAAGCCCCCGACUCAACCGGGGAGGGUCAUUGGAAACUGGGAAACUUGAGUGCAGAAGAGGAGAGUGGAAUUCCACGUGUAGCGGUGAAAUGCGUAGAGAUGUGGAGGAACACCAGUGGCGAAGGCGACUCUCUGGUCUGUAACUGACGCUGAGGAGCGAAAGCGUGGGGAGCGAACAGGAUUAGAUACCCGAGUAGUCCCUGUCUCUUAUAC